rnacentral:rRNA from 1 species
CACACCGCCCGUCACACCAUGGGAGUUGGUUUCACCCGAAGGUGCUGCGCUAACCCGCAAGGGAGGCAGGCGACCACGGUGGGAUCAGCGACUGGGGUG